UACAGAGGCGGCAAGCGUUGUUCGGAAUUACUGGGCGUAAAGGGCGCGUAGGCGGCCUUCUAAGUCGGACGUGAAAUCCCCAGGCUUAACUUGGGAACUGCGUCCGAUACUGGAGGGCUUGAGUGCGGGAGAGGGAUGUGGAAUUCCAGGUGUAGCGGUGAAAUGCGUAGAUAUCUGGAGGAACACCGGUGGCGAAGGCGGCAUCCUGGACCGACACUGACGCUGAUGCGCGAAAGCCAGGGGAGCAAACGGG
rnacentral:rRNA from 1 species